GAAGUCUAACAUGUGCGCGAGUCAUUGGGUUAUAAAACCUAAAGGCGGAAUGAAAGUGAAGGAAGCUUUGCUCUCUGAGGGAGGAUGGGGACGUCGGCUCAAAGGGCGGUCCCCCGCACUCCCGGGGCGUCUCACUCUCAUUGCGAGAAGAGGCGCACCCAGAGCGUACACGUUAGGACCCGAAAGAUGGUGAACUAUGCCUGGUCAGGACGAAGCCAGGGGAAACCCUGGUGGAGGUCCGUAGCGAUUCUGACGUGCAAAUCGAUCGUCAGAGCUGGGUAUAGGGGCGAAAGACUAAUCGAACCAUCUAGUAGCUGGUUCCUUCCGAAGUUUCCCUCAGGAUAGCUGGUGCCCGUGUGAGACGAGUCUCAUCCGGUAAAGCGAAUGAUUAGAGGCCUUGGGGCCGAAACGACCUCAACCUAUUCUCAAACUUUAAAUAGAUGAGAACUCCGGCUUGCUUGAAAGUGAAGCCGGAGACUCGGAUCAAGGGUGCCCAGUGGGCCAAUUUUG
rnacentral:rRNA from 1 species